rfam:Candidatus Moranbacteria bacterium RBG_13_45_13 RBG_13_scaffold_1894, whole genome shotgun sequence.
GGGCCCGUAGCUCAUCUGGUAGAGCGCCGCUUUUGCACAGCGGAGGUGAGGAGUUCGAGUCUCCUCGGGUCCA